rnacentral:tRNA from 1 species
AAAAUCCGUCAACUUUUGAAAUCGGGGGGGUUCAAGUCCCUCUAUCCCCAG